rnacentral:piRNA from 1 species
UUUUGUAAUAAUUUGAAAUUG